GUGAGGAAUAUUGGUCAAUGGGCGGGAGCCUGAACCAGCCAAGUCGCGUGAAGGAAGAAGGAUCUAUGGUUCGUAAACUUCUUUUGCAGGGGAAUAAAGUGCAGGACGUGUCCUGUUUUGUAUGUACCCUGAGAAUAAGGAUCGGCUAACUCCGUGCCAGCAGCCGCGGUAAUACGGAGGAUCCGAGCGUUAUCCGGAUUUAUUGGGUUUAAAGGGUGCGUAGGUGGUUUGAUAAGUCAGCGGUGAAAGUUUGCAGCUUAACUGUAAAAAUGCCGUUGAAACUGUCGGACUUGAGUGUAAAUGAGGUAGGCGGAAUGCGUCGUGUAGCGGUGAAAUGCAUAGAUAUCACGCAGAACUCCGAUUGCGAAGGCAGCUUACUAAGCUACAACUGACACUGAAGCACGAAAGCGUGGGGAUCAAACAGGAUUAGAAACCCUGGUAGUCC
rnacentral:rRNA from 1 species